CAUCUCUCAGACAACAAACACUUGUCAGGUACAAGGAUGGUACAGCAGAUUGCAGAGAGAUGAAGUGGUGGGAGAAUGGAAGAAAAUCAAAGGAAAAAUGUGCCUUCAUGUGCAUUGUCACAUUUUCUAGCCGAGAGGCGUUAAAAGGUUUUGAAGGCUUUUGUGCAUGGAGACAAGACAUUGUUCAACAGCUAUCCGGAGCUCCGACAGGCUUCGGCUUGGAUCCAUUUUCACUCCAACAUCCCUGAGUUCAACAAGGUGGAGUGCUGGGGCCCACUCUGUCAACCAAAGCCCCCCUCUGGGUCCCACAGCAUUGUUAAGCAUUGUGCUGCGCCUCAGCCACGCAAGAAGAGGGCUAUCCCCAAUUGAGCUUGAAAAGGAGUUAAGAAUAAAUUUAGAAGAAUUUAUGAGGACUUUAACUUGUUAUUUUAUUUUCAUCAUUUCAUCUAAUUUGUAGUUAAAAAUGGGGGCGAAAAUAGCAUUUUUCUUUUUGUAAUUUAGAGUUU